CCCUGGAGAAGAGACACAAAGGAGGUGACCAAUUACAUCAAAUGCAGCAUUGGAAUGGUGUGGAUGAAGUGAGCUAGAAGUUAUUCAACCAUGUGACAAGCAGUUCUGAGUAUUCUCCCCCCUUAACAGCUCAAUCUGCUCCGUGAUGCUUGACGUGACUUGUCACGGCAUCCAUCAAAAAUAGACCAACCACGUAUUUGCCACGGAGGAGAGAAUGAGAGUCGCUUCUGAGACAUGGCGCGGUGCUUCUGGUGGAAUCACUAAAACUGUGGUCCAGCAUCUGGAACGUGUUGUAUCCGUGUGGUGAAACUGGGGGAUAAGGCACUUUACUGUACAAGGACUCUACAUCUACAUGUAAUUCAUAGCGUACUGAUAGUCACACUGUUAAAUGUAGCCCCUUCCUCUCCAAAGUGCAUGGGGCUGCUGCUAAUAU